ACCACAGAAGGUUUCCAGAAUGAAAAUGAACCCUCGACGCUUUCCUAGACUUUGCCAUGUCAAGCAUCUCCUUCCCUUCCUUGCCCCCCAUCCUUCCCCAUCGCCCUCCUCCCCCUACAAUCUGACCACCUUCCUCCAAUCUCCUCGCCAUCGAAGACCUCCACGGGGACCUCUACAGGUCUAUCUCCGCGCUCUACCUUGCCGGCUGCUGCAGGGUCUCCUGGAGUUCUUUGCCUCGACAGAUUGGUACCACCCGGGGCUCGACAUCAAGCGCCGCUGCGGCGAGCACCUCGACCCACAAUUAAUGAACCCCUUCGUCAGAGUGCCCUUCCGUGGCGUCAAGCCGGAGUUCUGAGAUGGGAUCUGGUCUCGCGUCGCACCCGAAGAGCUCGAUAUCAAGCGCUGUAGCGGCAAGCACCUCCACCUGCAGCUAUGGAACCCUUUCGUCAAUGUGACCAGGUCCUUCCCUGGCGUCAAGCGAGAGUUCUAAGAUGCGAUGUGGUCCCACCUCGCUACCCUUCCCCAAUGGCCACAUUACAUGUUGGCUCCUGGCUGACCUCCGUACCAUGCAGCUCCCUUGCGUGGUCGCGCGUGAACAUUGUCGCUUCGCUCCCGGAUCCUUAUCUGGGGAUUGCAGCUACUUCAGAUACAUGACUACUAGGCUAUACAAUCUGAAUCUGUAUUGAACAUGACUAGGUCGCUCACACUGCUCAGUUCUACCGAACUGAUGAUACUAUACACCUCUUACAAAUCUUACAAAAACAGCCUUAGUAGCUGCCUUCUAGUUAUUUCAAUGUCGACAUCUCAAGUAAAGGAUGACGGUGCCUUAGCUAGCAGAAAAGAAAGAAAAAAGCAUGUAAGUUCUUUACUAAAAGUAUAGUUUUUAUUAGUUUUCUCAAUUGAGAUUCUUUUCUGCUAUGUAUGUGUGUUUAUGUUUCGUCUUAUUUACCUUUUUGGGAAGAAGGUAGUUCAACUAUAAAUGGUCGAGCAGAUCAAACAAGAUAACUCCUCUUUUACACCA